rnacentral:rRNA from 1 species
CAGUCGCCGCGGUAAUACGAAGGGUGCAAGCGUUAAUCGGAAUUACUGGGCGUAAAGCGCGCGUAGGUGGUUUGUUAAGUUGGAUGUGAAAUCCCCGGGCUCAACCUGGGAACUGCAUUCAAAACUGACUGACUAGAGUAUGGUAGAGGGUGGUGGAAUUUCCUGUGUAGCGGUGAAAUGCGUAGAUAUAGGAAGGAACACCAGUGGCGAAGGCGACCGCCUGGACUAAUACUGACACUGGGGUGCGAAAGCGUGGGGAGCAAACAGGAUUAGAUACCCCUGUAGUCCCUGUCUCUUAUAC